rfam:Drosophila sechellia strain Rob3c scaffold_8061 genomic scaffold, whole genome shotgun sequence.
CGGACGGGGGAUUCAACAUAUGUGCAAGUUAUUGGGAUGUAAACCUAAUAGCGUAAUUAACUUGACUAAUAAUGGGAUUAGUUUUUUAGCUAUUUAUAGAUAAUUAACACAAUCCCGGGGCGUUCUAUAUAGUUAUGUAUAAUGUAUAUUUAUAUUAUUUAUGCCUCUAACUGGAACGUACCUUGAGCAUAUAUGCUGUGACCCGAAAGAUGGUGAACUAUACUUGAUCAGGUUGAAGUCAGGGGAAACCCUGAUGGAAGACCGAAACAGUUCUGACGUGCAAAUCGAUUGUCAGAAUUGAGUAUAGGGGCGAAAGACCAAUCGAACCAUCUAGUAGCUGGUUCCUUCCGAAGUUUCCCUCAGGAUAGCUGGUGCAUUUUAAUAUUAUAUAAAAUAAUCUUAUCUGGUAAAGCGAAUGAUUAGAGGCCUUAGGGUCGAAACGAUCUUAACCUAUUCUCAAACUUUAAAUGGGUAAGAACCUUAACUUUCUUGAUAUGAAGUUCAAGGUUAUGAUAUAAUGUGCCCAGUGGGCCACUUUUGGUAAGCAGAACUGGCGCUGUGGGAUGAACCAAACGUAAUGUUACGGUGCCCAAAUUAACAACUCAUGCAGAUACCAUGAAAGGCGUUGGUUGCUUAAAACAGCAGGACGGUGAUCAUGGAAGUCGAAAUCCGCUAAGGAGUGUGUAACAACUCACCUGCCGAAGCAACUAGCCCUUAAAAUGGAUGGCGCUUAAGUUGUAUACCUAUACAUUACCGCUAAAGUAGAUGAUUUAUAUUACUUGUGAUAUAAAUUUUGAAACUUUAGUGAGUAGGAAGGUACAAUGGUAUGCGUAGAAGUGUUUGGCGUAAGCCUGCAUGGAGCUGCCAUUGGUACAGAUCUUGGUGGUAGUAGCAAAUAAUCGAAUGAGACCUUGGAGGACUGAAGUGGAGAAGGGUUUCGUGUGAACAGUGGUUGAUCACGAGUUAGUCGGUCCUAAGUUCAAGGCGAAAGCCGAAAAUUUUCAGUAAAACAAAAAUGCUAACUAUAUAAACAAAGCGAAUAUAAUACACUUGAAUAUUUUGACGAAAGGGAAUACGGUCCCAUUCCGUAACCUGUUGAGUAUCCGUUUGUUAUUAAAUAUGAGGCCUCGUGCUCAUCUUGGCAACAGGAACGACCAUAAAGAAGCCGUCGAGAGAUAUCGGAAGAGUUUUCUUUUCUGUUUUAUAGCCGUACUACCAUGGAAGUCUUUCGCAGAGAGAUAUGGUAGAUGGGCUAGAAGAGCAUGACAUAUACUGUUGUGUCGAUAUUUUCUCCUCGCACCUUGAAAAUUUAUGGUGGGACACGCAAACUUCUCAACAGGGCGUACAAUAUCCGCAGCUGGCUCCAGGUGAAGAGUCUCUAGUCGAUAGAAUAUGUAGGAAGGAAGUCGGCAAUUAGAUCCGUAACUUCGGGAUAGGAUGGCUCUGAAAUGAGAUAGUCGGGCUUGAUGAGAAAAUACAUGGUUAUGUGCUCGUCUGGGUAAUAAGUUUAGCAUUAGGUAGUACUGUCCCGGAUAGUUAGUACUAGCAAUGGGACUUCUGCUAAUUUAGAACUAUUGGGUAACAUAGUCUUCAUUACGUACAUACAUAUAGAUGCCGAUUGGGACCAUG